rnacentral:tRNA from 1 species
UCCCCGAUAGUUUAAUGGUUAGAAUGGGCGCUUGUCGCGUGCCAGAUCUGGGUUCAAUUCCCCGUCGAGGAG